rnacentral:rRNA from 1 species
AGUCUGAUCCAGCCAUGCCGCGUGCAGGAUGACGGCCCUCUGGGUUGUAAACUGCUUUUAUAUGAGAAGAAA